rnacentral:lncRNA from 1 species
UCUCCCACCUUGGCCUCCUUAAGUUCUGAUUUUACAGGUGUGAGCCAUCGUGCCCAGCCAGGCUGUGACUUUUAACAGGGGAUUGUUUCUUUUUUUCCUGCCAUGGUUGCAAUAGAAGUCAGAUUGUAAGAGCAUAAAGAAGCCAUAUUAGUGUGGAGACAAAAGUGACUCCACCUUAAAUGCUAAUCUGCUAUAAUGAUUUUUGAGUAUCCUCAGUCCCAUGAAUGCCUCCUGAUUCCUACUUUAUUUACUGUCCCUAGAGAAAGAACAUGUCAAUCUUGAUGUUAUCCCACAGUUUACAGACUAUGAUGAAUAUAUAGCAUUGUUGCCUGUUCUGGAGGAUUGCCUUUAAUUAUCUUGCAUAGAGAGCACUUAUACCCUUUCACUGUAGUAUAUAAGCUCUGGGUUGGGAGGUAACAGGUUUAGAGAUCUACCUGUCUUGCUGCUGCCCAAGACCACACUUCCGUCUGUAAGUUACCUCCAUCACUGACAAACUGGAUUUUUCUACCUCAUUCUUUGAUUUCUCAGCUCCUCUGGCAUUUGGGGGGAACUUUGCAUAUAUGGUGGCCCUUUCACAGAACAGUCAGCAUUCUCCAGAGUAACAGAGAGAUUAUAGUAAUUGGCCCAUGUGAUUAUGGAGGCUGAGAAGUCCCAUGAUCUGCAAGCUGGAGAACCAUAGAAGUUGGUGGUGUAGUUCAGUCUGAGUUUGAAGGUCUGUGAACCAGGAGUGCUGAUGUCCGAGAGGAGGAGAAGAUGGCUGUUCAGCUCAAGCAGAAAGCUAAUUCACUGUUCUCUGCCUCUUUGUUUCAUUCAAGCCCUCAAGGGAUGGUAUAAUGCCUACCCAAAUGGGUGAGAGCGUCUUUUUUACUCAGUCUACCAAUUCAGAUACAAGUCUCUUCUGUAAACACCUUCACAGACAUACCCAGAAAUAAUGUUUUACCAGAUAUUUGGGCAUCCUUUAGCCCAGUCAAACUGACACAUAAAAUUAACUGUCAUAGAAGGACUACCUCGUUAGCAACUAAGAACAAUGGGACUUAGAACAAAGACCUCAUCAGGUAUUAAAUUGGAAGAAGAUACAUUAAUGAAAAGAAAUGUUAUGGUACUGUUGAAGAUGGAGGCAGCAAGACCCUCCGAGGCUAUAGAAAAAAUAGCGUAAUAAACCCAGAAAGGCUCUUCAAGAUAUCUAUGUUAGUGUUCUACCUAACACAGCAAUAAUUUCUUUGCAAAGCCCCUGGCAGAUUAUUUAGUUUUGCUUGGAUCCUUAAGGUGAUGAAGUGUUCCCUUUUUAGCAAGGUAAAUGAAUCUGUUUUUGGACAGAUGUAACUCUUAGAAAUUUCUUCCUUGUACUGCUAAAGCAAGGUCUGUUUCCCUGUAGCUUCCAUAUGGUUUCCUUAAGUGAUAAACAGACUGACUGUAAUAUAUCUUUCCUAUGACAGCCCUCCAAAUAUCUGAAGUAUGUCCCUCCUGUUUUCUUUUUUUAAGUUAAGCAUCCCAGAUACUUCAAUUUAUAUCUCCUCACAAGAUUGCCAGACCUCUUAAUAUUUUGGCUGCCCAAUCAGAAUAAAGUUGUUGAACUCUAGUUUGCCAGUGUCAAUUUUAAAAAGUAAUGUCCAGAAGGAAUUUUGUAUUUUGCAUGUAGUCUGACUGGAACAGAUAAGAGACAGUGAAAUUAAUUUUGUUAGAUAUUUUACACUUGUUAAUUGGACUCUUGGCCUAAACUGAACUGUAAUGAAUGUACCUGUCUGGUAUUUAUCUAAAUUGCCAUCAAACCAGGUUUAGUCUAUUCUGUAGCUGAAAAAAUUAAUUUUAUUUGAUAAAUUUUACCUUGUUCGUUUUGAUCCAUUCAUUCAUUUAUUCAUUCAUUGUUUCAACAAAUACUUUUUGAGGUCAGCAUUGUGGCAGUCUUCGUUAUGCCCUGAGAUUACCAGAAAGUACAGGUUAUUCCAAUUAGUUGAACAACUUGAGAUCAUUUUAAAAUGUAAAUCUAAUAUUCAACAUUGUUAUUUUUACAUCACCUGUCAUCUAUAAAUUUCAUAAACAUGAUUGUAUCUUUAUUCAGUUAAUAACAAGAUUAAAAAAUCAAGGACAUAUUGUGAUAAGCUGGUGAUUUUGAAUCAUCAGGAUUCUAGAUUUAAAAGUUUUUGGAGACAGAACAUUUAACGGUGUGAUUUAUUUAUUUUAUAGAAGAGAGUUAAUAUAUAACUUAGAGUUUGAUUGUCUUAAAUACCGUAUUUCUCUUUUUGUCCCAGGGGAAGAUCACAGAAUGCUGCCUUGCUUGUGGAAUUAUAGAAUUCAAAUCUAUCAGUUUUAUAGGGAGUAAUUUUUCAAGACUUACUCUUAAGGAAUUCAUACUGAUUCCUAAUAAUCAUCAUUUUCUUAAUCUAAAUCCUACAAAGCCAUUCAUUUAAUCAUUUGUUUUAGAAUGUUUCCUGCUUUCCUGUAUGUUUCUUUUUCUUCUUACUUUAAAGCAAGGUUUAAACAUCCCUUUUGAUAUUUUUAGGUUUUGUCGGGGUGUAGGGAGCAAGGUUAUUCUCACUGUGACCUUUGCCCUGCAGCAGUAAAGCAAUAACUAGCAUCAUUUCUGCUUUGUAUUGUUUUAUCAUUUCUACAUCAUGUUUGUAGGCUGACGAAUGAAGUCAAAUGCUUAUAAAUGCUUUGUAAACUAUAAAAUUCUCCAUUUAUAUAUAUUUCUGCCCCACUUAUUUCUCAUUAAUGUUACUUGUGAUUAUAUUGUCAGAAUUCCUUAGAGCCACAUUUUUGUGAAUAUUGUGCUGCAAAUAUAUUUAUUUGUUUGUAAGCACUAAGUAUUCUUUUGUUCCCAAGAAAACAAAUUCUAUAUGAGUCUUUUCUGGUUCUGUUUUUCUUUUGUUUCAAUCUCUUCACAAUAUUGUAUUUAGAGCCAGAUUUAUCAGCCCCAGGCAUCUCUUGCUUUCCUGUGUCUACUUCUUCACAGUAUAACUCUCAGGCAAAAUGACAAAAAGGCAAAUUCACAAAGGAACCAGUGAGUGUUCUUGUCAGUGCUUGGGUUCCAUUCUCAAAUAAGCUGAAAGUUCUUCUAUUUCAUCAACAGAAUGUGAUUUAAAGGGAUAUAUUGCCAGCUUGUAUCACUGCUAAACAGUGGUGUGUCACUGUAGAGCAAAUAGUCACAAGAAUACAUUCUCAGGAAAUAUACAGUUAUAUCUAUGCUUUCUGCCAAGCAAGGAGAAACGCAGACUGGCUCAAAUCUCCAGAAACGACUUGCAUCCUUCUUUAUUUCUUACACCUUUUCUUUUCUUCAUCUCCUAUUUCUUCUUUCCCCAUGUCCUCCUCCUGCUUUCACAAUUUCCUUCUCCUCCUUAUUCUCCUUCUCUUUCACCUCCCCGUCUUCUUCCUUACGCGUUGAUUAUGCCAGUAAGAUGAUAUCUUGUAAAGAAAUGGAAUACUUUUAGCAGAUGCCACACUAUAGCCACAGUAGUGACAUCUGGAAUUUGUCAAAAGCCACAGUUGGCAUCCCUAAAAUUCACCUGCCUGGAUUCUGUUCUGAGAAGAUUGUGUCUGCAAGAAAGUCUGGCCAAGUUCCUAAAAGAGGCAAAAUCAAGGAUAGAUGGCAUCUAUCCUAGUUCACGUGAAGGUUAAAAGCGUCUUCAGAUCCCCUGAAAGAUUUUGGAGAAUUUCCUGAUUGGCACUUUGAAAACUGCUGCUGUAACCAAUUCUGUGAUGACUGCUGACUUGAUGUGUGCUUAAGACACAGACACCUACAGAAGGAAGACCAUGUGAAAAUACAGGGAGAAGAAAGCUAUCUGUAAGCCAAGAAGUGAGUAAGGCCUCAGAAGAAAGCAAAGCCUGCCAACACCUGGAUCUUGGAUUCUGGCCUCCAGAAUCAUAAGAAAAUACGUUUCUGUUGUUUAAGCUACUUGGUCUGUGGUACUUGGUUACAGUAGCCCUAGCAAACUCAUAUGAUUCUGUGAUGAGGGGAAAGAACUGUUGAAAGCAUUUAGUUAUAAAUAAUGAAUCAGGAAACAAAGGGCCAAUAAUGACAUAAUGAACUCCUUAAGACAAAAUAGACUGAAGCAUGAUUAUAGGUCAAGAGGAACACAUAUUUGAUAAGGAAGAGCCUGGGGAAUAAUUGAUGGGAAUCUUGGAGUAGACCAGAAGAGAGAGGAUCAGGAGUAGAGACUGGAGGGAGACGACCCAUUCAUUCCUGGAGGAAGGGAAGCUGAAAUUGAAAUGUUAAAUUAAAAAUGGACAGGAAUGAUCUCCGUUCCAAGAUGACCGAAUAAGAACAGCUCCGGUGUGCAGCUCCCAGUGUGAUCGACACAGAAGACAGGUGAUGUCUGCAUUUCCAAUGGAAGCACCUGGUUCAUCUCACUGGGACUGGUUGGACAGUGGGUGCAGCCCAUGGAGGGUGAGCCAAAGCAGGUUGGGGUGUCACCUCACCUGGGAGGUGCAAGGGGUCGGGGGAUUCCCCUUUCAUAGCCAAGGGAAGUGGUGACAGACUGUUCCUGGAAAAACUGGACACUCCCGCCCAAAUACUGCACUUUUCCCAUGAUCUUAGCAACUGGCAGACCAGGAGAUGCCCUCCUGUGCCUGGCUUGGUGGGUACCGCCCCCAUGGAACCUUGCUCACUGUCAGUGCAGCAGUCUGAGAUCGACCUGCAAGGCAGCAGCCUGCUGGCGGGAGGGGAGUCUGCAAUUGCUGAGGCUUGACUAGGUAAACAAAGCUGCCAGGAAGUUCAAACUGGGUGG